CAAAUAAUAUGGCUAAAACUCUUAAAUUAGUUUCCGCUAUAAAUUUAGUCAUUUUCCUAUUUUUUAUUACCGAGAUCAUUAAUUUUCCAUUUGAUGUCAUUCCAACAUCUGUCAAGUGUAAAUCCCCUAAAGACUGUCUUUCUGUAAUUGUACCGCCCAACAUCAUCAUUGCUCUUUGCAUAAAUGGCUAUUGUCAUAUAUAGGAAAGAAUGAGUUCUCUAAUAAUUACAUAAGCAACCAAAAAUGAAGUUGAUAGUGAGUCAAAUCUCACUUCAACAUUUAUCAGAUGUAAAAGUGAUGACAUGAUUGUCUAUCAAAUUUUCAAGUUGAUAGUGUUUUUCUCCUUUGGUUUCUAUGGAGUUGCAUGCGUCUCAAAAUAGUUCUUCAUGGCUUGGAAUUUUUUUGGGAGGAUGGUUACCUGAUGUUGUUUGUUAGUCUGACACACUUCAAAUUGUUAAAUUGGUAAGAGAGGGAAUCAUUUCUCACCACAAGUUUGCUAAUGAAAUUCAUUCAUAGUGAUUUACAACA